CGACACAGUAAUGAAUCCUUCCGAGAGUGAGUAAGUUUUGUGGAGCUCUGAGAAAAGGUUUUUAAAAUCUUUAACACCAGGCAGAAACGGUGAUAUUAAUGUCCCACAGAGACUGUUGACUAAGGGGUCGCGGGGGAACCUGGAGCCUAUCGCAGGGAGCAUCGGGCACAGGCGGGUACACCCUGGACAGGGUGCCAGUCCAUCACAGAGCACACAAUCACACAUUCAUACACUACGGACACUUUAGACACGCCAAUCAGCCAUGCAUGUCUUUGGACCGCAGGAAACCCCCGCAAACGGGAGAACAUGCAAACUCCGCACACACACAGCCGCAGGAAUCAAACCCGACCCUGGCGGUGUGAGGCGAACGUGCCAACCACUAAGCCACCGUUCCCUA
ensembl:lncRNA